ACCUGGCUGAUUCAGUCAGUACAACACAUGACUUUUGAUCAUGGGGUUGUGAGUUCAAGCCCCAUGUUAGGCA
rnacentral:tRNA from 1 species